AGGAAGUGAAGACUUAUCCAAAUUAAAGAUUGUGCUAAUUUAUUACAACCAUGUAUACUGAAAACAAGCAUGUUGGGGAAGAUUAACGAGCAAGAAUUGAAAUCAUUCACGAAGAGAAGCUUUGGACUAAAACCCAUCUGCCAGAUAAGCCAAUAAAUGUCCCUCUCAUCAAGUGAUUGGGACUGGGAUGGAGCUGGAAUUUGGCCCUAAUGUUGCAUGUGUAAAGAAGAUGGAGAUAUGUCAAGAAGACACAGGAUUCUUCUUGAAAGGAUUCCCACUGGGAAAACUGGGAUAAUUUAAACAUCAAAAU